CAAUAUGUUUAAGAAAAGGAUGCACAAGAACCAUAAUUACAUGUGAGUACUAUAAUGAUCAACUUCAAUUACCAUGGUGGGGUGUCUUGCUGGCGUGUGGUCUCGCACUUUUUUUCACCCUCCCUAUUGGAGUCAUCACUGCUACAACAAAUCAGGUAUGAUAUUAGUAUAAGCCAAUGAAGCAUUUCUUGUGUACUUACGUGAACAUUGUAGGAUUUGGUGUGGACUUGGGAUGCUUCUGCAUAUUAUACAUUUCCACCAUCAUUAGUUUCAGCUAAAAUUAUUUAGACUGAAAAUGGAGAAGUGGCAAUAGUAUGAUGGUUGGCAGUUGUUUUCUUCUGCUAUUAUGAAGCUUGUAGCAUUGUAACAUGAAUUUUCUUUGUCGAACAGACACCAGGCUUAAACGUGAUAACAGAGUAUAUAAUUGGGUAUUUGUACCCAGGAUUUCCUGUUGCUAACAUAUGCUUUAAAGUAUAUGGAUACAUCAGCAUGAAACAAGCGAUCACUUUUUUGCAAGAUUUCAAGCUCGGUCAUUACAUGAAGAUUCCUCCUAGGGCCAUGUUCAUGGCACAGGUAAAUUAACUCACUAUGGGUUGUUCUUCAGGUCUUCCCAGGUAACAAAAGGAAAAGAAAAUUACUCUUGUUUUUGCCGUCGGUUUCUGGCAGCAAAACAAUCACUGUGAAUUUAAAGAUCUGUGUAUGAUUUUUUUUUCCUUCAGGUGGUUGGUACAAUAAUAUCAGCAAUGGUUCAUUUAGCAACAUCAUGGUGGCUUAUGGACACCAUCCCCAAUUUAUGUGACCGUGAAUUACUUCCAGCAGGAAGUCCAUGGACCUGUCCAGGUGACCAUGUGUUCUAUGAUGCGUCUGUCAUCUGGGGACUUAUAGGCCCCCGCAGAAUUUUUGGAGAUCUUGGUCACUACUCUGCCAUGAACUGGUUAUUUUUGGCUGGUGCCAUAGCUCCUAUUCUAGUUUGGAUUGCACACAAGGCUCUCCCUAACAAGCAUUGGAUUAGAUCCAUCUCUAUACCAGUACUUUUAGGUGCUACACACGAGAUGCUGCCAGCUACUGCCGUCAACUACACUACCUGGGUUCUUGUUGGAUUUGCCUCGGGCUUUAUUGCUUUCAGAUACUAUCGUGACUGGUGGAGCCGCCACAACUACGUUCUGUCCGGGGCACUCGAUGCUGGACUAGCUUUCAUGGCAGUGUUUCUGUAUUUGUGCUUGGGAAUGCAACAUGUUAGUCUUGACUGGUGGAGAAAUGAUUCAGAUGGAUGCCCAUUAGCUUCUUGCCCAACUGCAACAGGGGUUGUCGUUAAAGGUUGCCCAGCCCUCUGAGUCUAAGUAAUGGAUUGGAUUAUUAUCCCCAAGAGAAAGAGAUCAAAAGAAGUAAUGUAGAUAUGGCACAGUAAUGCAAUCAAAUUUUAUAUUAA
rnacentral:misc_RNA from 1 species